rnacentral:ncRNA from 1 species
UGAAAGUUAUUUUUAGUAUUUUUUUGCAUGUAAUUUUUUGAUAAAUUAUUUUUUCUAAAUGGGUAAUUAUUUAUUAUUUUCAGUAUUAAAUUUUUAUUAAUUUAAGGGUUUUUAUUUGAUAAAAUAUUAUAUUUCAGAAUAAUGUUAUGCCAGCAUUCGCGGUUAUAUUUCAUGAUUAAAAUAAUUUUUUUUGGAAUUUUUAGGUUUUUUUAUAGUGAUUUAUUAAUUUAGGUGAAAUUUAUUAAUAAUUUGUUUUUUUUAAUAUAAUCUAGUAAGACUAUAAUUUAAACUAGGAUUAGAUACCCUAUUAUUUUAGAGUAAUUUGUUUUCCAGGGAGUAAAAAUUUUAAUAAAAUUUAAUAAAUCUGGCGGUUUUUAAAUCUUUUUAGAGGAACCUGUAAUUUAAAUGAUAGUCCACGAUAAAUUUUAUCUUUAUUUUCUUGUAUAUCUCUGUUGUUGAAUGUAAUUGAAGUUUUAUUUUCUUUUUAUAUUUUUGUAUAUUUAUGUUAGGUCAAGGUGCAGUUAUAUAAAGGUGUUUAUGGGUUACAUUAAUUAUUUUUUUUUAAUAUUUAUUUUUUAUUUAGGUUGAAUUUGGAUUUAAUAGUAAUUUUUUUUAUUAAAUUUUUUGAAUAAAGCUCUUGAUUAUGUACAUAUCGCCCGUCAUUCUCAUAAAGUGAGACAAGUCGUAACAAAGUAGAUGUAUUGGAAAAUGUAUCUAGAAU